UUUAUUUAUUUAUUUUUAUUUAUUUUUUAUUAUUGUAGUUAUUGUUGUUGCUGGUGAUAUUAUGACGACAAUGGCAACAACGAAAACAACAACAAGAAUAAUGAAAAUUGUAGUAAUAUUUUUUGUUAUAGUAUUAAUAUGCGACAAUACCAAGGAAUACGUCAUGUUCUUAAAUCGAUAAUCAUUUGUGUAUGUGUGUGUGUGUGUGUGUGUGUGUGUGUGUGUGUGUGUGUGUGUGUGUGUGUGUGUGUGUGUGUGUGUACACUUCCCCGCUGUUCCGCUGUUCCCUAAAGAGUAAGUUUCUCUCUCUCUCUCUCUCUCUCUCUCUCUCUCUCUCUCUCUCUCUCUCUCUCUCUCUCUCUCUCUCUCUCUCUCUCUCUCUCUCUCUCUCUCAACCGGUCCACCCCCAUCCCGCACCUGGCACAGUGCCGCACUAAGGGAGGGACAAACACGCGUAGAGGCACUCCCUGAAUUCCUCCCUUAUCGCGUUUACACGUUCACGUUCAGAGAGAGAGAGAGAGAGAGAGAGAGAGAGAGAGAGAUUGUGCCCGCGGAUUAAGAAUAUUACUGAUAAGACGUUAUCUAGUAUGUUAGAGAGAGAGAGAGAGAGAGAGAGAGAGAGAGAGAGAGAGAGAGAGAGAGAGAGAGAGAGAGAGAGAGUGAGUGAGUUUCCAUGGUUACGUCUUAUCUUUUCUCCCUGGGAAGUAUGAUCUACUGUGUGCACGUUACACACACGUGCCUUUAUCGACACGCAUUUUCAUCGUCCUGCGUCCCAUGCUAAGAAUAAGGAGUGUGUGCAAAGGGGAAAGGGACCAGAUUUCAAAAGUCACCUAGAGUGGAAGGAAUGGGUUAUUAGGAUUCAUUUUAAGGUACUAGGUUUGUAGAGGGAAGGAUAGAAAUAAUUCAUGUUGAGGGGAAAGGGAGUAGAUUGUAAGUGUUAUAUAGAGACGGAUGGAAUGGGUUUUAAAGGAGUAAGUUUAAGGGGUGUGUAGGGAGGAAAGGAGUGGAAUUUAAGGGUCGUAUAUAGGAAGGGAUGGAAUUCAUGGGUCUUGUAGAGAGGAAGUAGAUUUUAGGGAUAAUGUGGAAGGGGAAGGAGUGGAAAGUAAGGGUGUAAAGGGGAAAGGAGUGGAAUUUGGGUUGUGUAGAGGGAAGAGGAGCGGAGUUUGGGUCGUGUAGAGCAGUGAUAGUUAACCUCAGUGUAUGAAUUGUUUUCAAAGGGCACCUGGAGAUCGUUGAGUACAUGCACGGCUACAUGACGUGGCCAGUGUGUACAAGAGUGCUUAGUACGGAAGGAUGUUUUAGAAAGUGUCAUGUAAGAAAUUAACUGAAAUUGAGAUAAAAGUAUUACAAAUUUGUGUAUUAUAUUAACAUAUUACUCUCAGACGCAACUCGUGCCUCAAAUUUAUCAACUAUUUCGGACAGAAUAGCUACUUUGUGUUUAAAAUAAAAAUAGAAUAAUACUUUUAUUUAUAUAUUUUCAAUCUUAAAACUAGAGAAAAUUGUCAAAUAUUCAUGUGAUUCUUUUGAAAUUAAUUGUCCAAGGCGCGAGGGUACUUAUAUACACGCGUUUCUCAAAAGUAAGGAUGCGUGGACUUAGAAAAGGUUGAAGAACACUGGUGUGGAGGAAGAAGUGACGUUUGUGUCGCGUAGAGGGCAAAGAGUGAGUGUCGAGGGUCGGUGGUAUACUGCGUUGUUCACUGGUGGCGGAACAAAUCCCUGGCACCUUACACCUCACGGCCGCGGCAAUGCUAGGUCACAGCCGCCCAGAUCGUUUUUACGAAUUAGAAACGAGACGCGGAGUAACAUCACUUUUACUACCUCUCUCUCUCUCUCUCUCUCUCUCUCUCUCUCUCUCUCUCUCUCUCUCUCUCUCUCUCUCUCUCUCUCUCUGCCUUUGCUCCAUAUUUUCCAUCUAAGCGUAUUCUGAAUGCAUGAGAGUCUAGCAGGUUUGAAUCGCAACGAGAACUUCGCACCACAUUAAUUCGCAAAAGUUUCAGCGUCUUGUCUUUCUUGUCUUCACUACGUUCGACAGGCUGUGAAGUGGAAAUGACUAAGGUUUUCAAGGAUGUUUUCGUGAUUCUAGUGAUAAAAUAAUAAAUAUCCUGCUUCACUAAUAGGAGGAAAACACGCGAGAACCCAACUGAUCAGUUCUGUGGCUGAGGCUUCUGAAAACCUAACCCCCACUACACUGAGGUGCCAUCUUCCGUGUGGACUGUCGACAAAGGCAUCGCAAAUUGUGUAUUCCGACAAGCAGGUUGCUGACAGACUGCACGCGCCGUAUGGUUAAGCUGAGACCUUGAACUGUUAUGAUCCCCCACGUGGAAAGGCGCAGAGCUGGCGUACAAAGCGUCGUCUAACCGGUAGCGAGUAUAAGUCAUGUACAGUCUGUGCCUUAAUGCUGCUAACCUUGAAAUAGGAGGAGGAGUGGUGCCAAGUCGCUGUCUGCCGUCAGUACUACAAUAAGACUACAGAAAAUGGUGACGCAGGGUAUUCCUAAUCUUCAUUUUUUUUUUCUCUCAUUCUUAGCGUGGCAACAACAGAGUGAACGUUUUGUAAGUACCCCCAAGCCGCAGCCGCUGAUAACGGAAUGUUCCGUGCUCGAGGUGAAGCAACAGGGAGCAGAUGUGUGGAUGUUUCGUAAUCUGGAUCUCAUUUGUUUCUCAUUGGGAUAAACGAUGCGGUGUCGGGUUCAGGAAAUGACUGCAUCACUUAGAGCUUUGACAAGUGAAAUAUCUUGCGUUUCACGACCAGGCAAUUGACUGAAAUUAAGCAAGUUCCGCUUUUUUUUUUUUUUUUUUUUUUUUUGAGGAGAGGAAGGAGGAGCUAUUGAGGAGCCCAUUCAUGAUAACUAACGAACUAAUUUUUAUGUAUUUGUAUUUCCCAUCUGGUUCCGCUUUACUCGAGACGGUGAGGUGGACGAGAACUCCCCCGCGACAGUUAUGCGUACUAGGAAGAGCGGCGGGACGGGACGGGACGUGUGGGCGCGGUAUGGGUGUGUAUGGAGAAGACGGUAGUGUUCCGCGUCCAAGGUUUCAACCCUGAGACCUACCAAGGCUCCGGCACGCUGCCCAAGGACCUAUUGCCACUCGCUCAGUAGUACCCGGCACGUCCCCUUACGUGGCGACUAUAUGUGGCUGCACGCCGCUCAUGCCUCCCUGCUUUCGGUAAGAUCAUACAGAAUGCUCUUCUCCGGGUGUUUCACGUUGCCUCAUCCUGUUUCAGUUGACUGCGUAUAAAGAGCCACUCUCACACAUCACAGACACCACACGCUGACUCUUUCAUUAGGCAAAUUAACUUUCGAGGAGGAAGGUGUAGUAAUUGCUAGCUAGCCGCCUCUCGCUGUAAAAGUAAGGCCCGUUGAUGAUAUAAAGUAAUAAAAUGAAUGCUGGCACUAAAUGAAUAAAAAAAAAAUCAGUCAAGUUAAGGUGUUUUAUAGAGGGCAGCUUUUAUCUAACUAGAAUAUGAGUUAGUUCCAUGAAUCGUUGUUCACAGCAUUACCACGCACUUGCAAAGGCGCGCUGCUUUUCUUCCGGCAAGCCGAGCGCAGCGUCAACACUAAAAACAGUGACAUCACGAAAUGCACCACUUCCUGGCUAGGGGAUGAGGGGACGCCACGGUAUAGCAGAGUUUGUUUGUGUUGCUGUUGUCCUCGUGUGCCAAACCAGUGAGUGUCUGAGGAGGCGGCACUCUGAGAUGUACAAGACACGUCAAUGCUGCAAAUUUUCCGUGACAGACCACACCUCAGACGUGAGUUCUCGGGGCGAGCGUGGACAUUACCAGGCUGGCGGACGUGACUGCUCAGUGCGCCGAGGAGGAAGAGGAGCAGAAGGGAAGUGAGGGAAUUAUCUUAGAUGAAAAAUGAGGAAAUGACCUGGCGUGUGACGUACUGCUGUCUCUUGCCUCCGUGACCUAGCACACGUCAACACACUCUCCCUAUGGCAAUACCCGAUGUACCUGUACGGGGAGGAGACGAUGUGCAGGUUUAGUGUGAUGCACAAAGGGAACAUCAGUUUUGUGGGAUGUUCUCUGUAAUUCGCAACGUUACGUUAAUAAUUCUGCGGUGAUGUACUGCAGUUUGCCAUCAUCCACCGUGGAGAUUAAAUGUUUAGUGCGCUGCUUUUGGGUUAACAUUUUAAUGCAGUGAGAGAGAGAGAGAGAAAAAAAAAGUCUUUCCUGAGUUUAAACGCAUUCAAUGACCAACGUAAAAAAAUAUAUGUUGAUGGUGAUACUACAACGACAACAGUAACAACAACUAACUACUACUACUACUACUACUACUACUACUACUACUACUACUACUACUACUACUACUACUACUGUUACUACUACUACUACUACUACUACUACUACUAAUAAUAAUAAUAAUAAUAAUGAUAAUAAUAAUAAUAGUAAUAGCAGUAGUAGUAGUAAUAAUAAUAAUCAUAAUCAUAAUAAUAAUAAGAAGAAGAAGAAGUAGAAGAAGAAGAAGAAGAAGAAGAAGAAGAAGAAGAAGAAGAAUAGUAAUGAUAAUAAUAAUGACUAACAAUAAUGAUGAUGGUGGUGGUACUGAUGACAAGAACAACAAUUAUAACACCAUCAAUAACAAUAAUAAAAAAAAUAAGCAUAUAAAUAACAAUGUAAACAAACAAAUUUCCUCAGCAUCGUACAUUCUCACUACCAUAACGAACUUAAAUCAACCAACGUAAAUUUCUAAACUUAAAUCAACCAACGCACAUUUCUACUUUCGCAUCAUAACCGAUAAACAGAUCAAUAAACAACAAACAUCAAGUGAAUAACAAUAACUCGAAACCAGCGUGGGUCCUGUUUCACACUUACCUUUCCAAUACUUAGGAAUUCCAGUCUUCUUGCGCUUCCCUCGCGUCUCGUGUUGCAUGGAAAUAACGCGGGUCAGUGGCGUGGCUAAGCGGGUGGCGUGGGAGAGGGACGAUCAAUGGAUGGGAAGAGGAGUGGAGAUAACAGGUUUUCUUCAACAACAAUAACAGAAGCAGUUGUAGACAUGCCCCUCCCGUCCACCGCAUUGUUACUGUGUGUAAUCUGUGCCCCAAACGAAUGUGUAGGUGUUCGCUGGUUGGCUGGGGAAGGAGGUUUGAUUCUACUCAUCGUUUGGUGUGAGAACAUAAGUAACCAACACUCACCGGUUCACCUCUCCCUAACACCCCCCCUACCCACCACACACACAGACACACACACACACACACACACACAGUCGUUCUUUCUUUUAAUCCGUCUUAUCUUUGAUCUCGUAACAGGAGUCAUUCGCACUCGAGCCCUCCUCUAUUGGUGUGGCUCUACACACUUGCGCCACGUGUCUCCCAAAAAACAGUUUAUCUUGCAGACUGAUAAAAAAAUAAAUAAACACGAAGCAAAAUAGUUAUAGUUUUUUUUUUCCUUUCUCUCUCUCUCUCUCUCUCUCUCUCUCUCUCUCUCUCUCUCUCUCUCUCUCUCUCUCUCUCUCUCUCUCUCUCUCUCUCUCUCUCUCUCUCCAGCCAUUGGCCUCAAAUCUUUGCCCGCCGUGAUAUUGUGUUCAUCUGGUGCACAAUUAAAUCCUUAUUGGAGCAUCCCUUGAGGGUGGGCGUGAGUGUCCUUGCCUUACAUUAAGUAAGAGCAACUGUGUGAUUAGGAGAGAGAGAGAGAGAGAGAGAGAGAGAGAGAGAGAGUAGCCUUCCCCUCCGACCAAGGUCUAUGGCUGCACUUCUCAAGACGCUCAUCUCUCUUAAAGAUCGUGGGAACCCAAAACACGACGGCGCCUAUAGAAUGAGUGCUAUUAGACCUGCGUGAGGCAGCCACCAGCUGGUCGCCUUUCCUCUGUGAUUCAUAUGUAUGUUGAAGAUAAUCUGUUCUUGAUGUUGCUGACUUUAUUUAUAUGAAGAAUGACAUAAUAUUUUUAACAAAUACUAAAGACCUUCAUCUGCACGGCGGUUUUUGUUAUCGCGGGACCAUGAGGCAAGUGUUUGUAAACUCUUGGGGGACAUGCCAGUGACAAAAGAAGCGACCUUCAAGAUUGUUUACAGACUCCGAGUGAAGGUGCCACGAGGGACGGAGGGGGGAAGGGGAAGGGAAUGAGCCGUGCCCACGCUGAAUAAAAUUCACAUAAUCGUGGUUGAUUUCCUGAGUGCGUCACUCACGGCGCUCGGCUCGCCGGCCAGUACUCAUACUGUAGCUGGACGGUGGUGAUCACGCCUUAAGGGAGAUCUUUAUUUGCCCGGCACUGCUGCGUCACCUAUCCACCACAGCUCUCGGAGGCCACGCAAGAGGGGAGUGCACGCCGCUUAUACUCCCGCCGAAGCACAAAGGGAAGGGCGCGAGAAGGUAGCUGGCCUCCGUUCAAUGGACUACAGAUGCCCCCCUUGGCCUCUGCCUCCCCUGCCACCUUGGACGGCCCGGGUGAAGGUUGCCCGGGUGAGAGGAGGGAGAAUACCAAUCUUUUCUUCAGGUGAUGCCUCGGAAACUUAGGAGUGGAGGAGUAAGUGAUUGAAGAUGAGUGGAAGAAUAAAAAUAAUUAUUAAAGGUGUCUAGUUUUCUCUCAUUUUUUUCCCUUCCCUGUUUCUUCUGUCCAUGGUGGUAGAGGAUAAUGACCAUAGCAACUUUAGGUCUUGGGAAGGAAGUUUAUAAUGGAAAAAGAAACGAAGAUUAGAAGGGAAAAAAAUUAGUUAUUCUUUAUUGCUAUUAUCAAUCCUGUUUCUUUUUAAUUCUGUGGUCAUGGGAGGGGACGAGUUACACGUCUGAAUCAACAACUAUUAGAACUUCAGCUGAUGAGAGAGAAGUUUAAAUGGACAAAGGAACGGAGAUGAGAAGUACAACAAUUUUCAUUUAUUGUUAUUAUCAGUCUUGCAUGUUAGAUUAAGUAGGAAAAAGUUACGUGCCAGAAUCAACAACCAUUAGAAGGAACGAAGUUAUGAGAAAAGAAAGACGAGUUAUAUUUCAUUAUUUUUAUUAAUCUUGGUUGUUGAAAUUAUGUAGAGAUGUUUGGUUCCAGAAUUAACAACUACAAGACCUUUACCUCAUGAAAGGAAAAUUUAAAAUGGACAAAGGAAUGAAGAUUAGAAGAAAGAACGAGUUUUAUUUUUAUUGUUAUUAUUAAUCUUGCAUGUUAAAAUUCUGUAGUCAUGAGAGGGGACGAGGUAGGUGCCGGAAUGAACAACAACCAUAAAACCUUCAGCUGACGAGAAGGAAAUAAAAAAAAAAAAUGAACAAAGCAACGAAGAUCAGGAGAAAAAGGACGAGUUAUUUUUUUUAUUGCUGCUGUUAAUCCUGUAUGUCAAAAUUCUAAAGAGAAGAGAUACGUUCUGGAAGGAAUAACAAUCUGCCAACUUCAGCUAAUGAAAGGGAAGCUUAGAAUGGAGAAAGAAACGAAGAUUAUAAAAAAAAAAAAGAAUGAGCUCUCUUUCUUUUAUUUUUAUUACUUACCUAUCUUGCACAUUAAAAUUCUGUAGCCAUGGGAAUGAGCGAGUUACGUGCCAAAAGGGGCAACACGACCACAAGGCCAUGAGAGGAAGCUUGGCAACACCCGUGCAAAUGUAAGGAUUAUGCAAUGACGACCGUGUCCUCCGCGCCUUUAGUCCGCGAUGGGUGGCACCAUUUUAAAGCAGAAAUUCUUGAUUGUCCAGAAAAACGCGACGUCACUGAUCCAAGUCCGUCUGGCCAUCUGAUCCACUACACUGCACCCGAUCCACUGUUCCUGUUUCUAUUCAUCCACCUUUCCAUCCGCUUCCUACUUUGUGCUCUCUCUCUCUCUCUCUCUCUCUCUCUCUCUCUCUCUCUCUCUCUCUCUCUCUCUCUCUCUCUCUCUCUCUCU